rnacentral:rRNA from 1 species
UACGGGGGAUGCAAGCGUUAUCCGGAAUCAUUGGGCGUAAAGCGCCUGUAGGUUGUUUAAUAAGUCUGUUGUUAAAGACUAGGGCUCAACCCUAGGAAAGCAAUGGAAACUAUUAGACUUGAGUAUGGCAGGGGUAGAGGGAAUUUCUAGUGUAGCGGUGAAAUGCGUAGAUAUUAGAAAGAACACCGGUGGCGAAAGCGCUCUACUGGACCAUUACUGACACUCAGAGGCGAAAGCUAGGGUAGCAAAAGGGAUUAGAUACCCCUGUAGUCCUAGCCGUAAACGAUGGAUACUACAUGUUGUGCGUAAUGUACAGUAUGGUAGCUAACGCGUUAAGUAUCCCGCCUGGGGAGUACGCUCGCAAGGGUG